GUAGGGCCAUCAGACUUAGCUGAAGCAUUGUUAGAAUUGGACGAAGUGCCAGUAACAGCAGCUGCAGGCUUGUUUCCUCCCCCAAAGAGACCAGCAGGGGGAGCAAAUGGACGAGAUAAGCUACCUUCAGCAGCCUUAUUAAAGAUGUAAAUGGAAACCAAGUUGUUAGUAAACAAGGAAAUCAAAGGGAGAAUGGACUGAAUCACCAAUGGUUGAGCAUAACCCAUAUACAAAUGC